UACGAAGGGGGCUAGCGUUGCUCGGAAUUACUGGGCGUAAAGGGCGCGUAGGCGGAUAGUUUAGUCAGAGGUGAAAGCCCAGGGCUCAACCUUGGAACUGCCUUUGAUACUGGCUAUCUUGGGUUCGGGAGAGGUGAGUGGAAUGCCGAGUGUAGAGGUGAAAUUCGUAGAUAUUCGGCGGAACACCAGUGGCGAAGGCGACUCACUGGCCCGAUACUGACGCUGAGGCGCGAAAGCGUGGGGAGCAAACAGG
rnacentral:rRNA from 1 species